rnacentral:rRNA from 1 species
AUGUCCAGUCCUCGAGCUCUCCUCGGAGGUUCGAACGCCGCCACGGGACCUCCACCAGCCAGAUCCGGCGCCUACCUCCCGGAUCCGCGCUCCCUCCACCUCCUCUACCCGAUCCGGCGCCGCCGAACCCGCCAUGACCUCCACCAUGGAGUUCCUAUAGCUCGUCCCCUGCCUCCUCGUCCUGUGCUAGAGGGAGACGCCCCUCCAGCGCAUCCAGGACAAGGCCCACCACCAGCCGGUCGUUGUAGCACUCGCCGGCGACCUCACCCUCCCCUCUGCACUGCCCUCCACCUCAACUAA